rnacentral:rRNA from 1 species
ACGCACGCUGGCGGCGUGCUUAACACAUGCAAGUCGAACGGAAAGGCCCUGCUUUUGUGGGGUGCUCGAGUGGCGAACGGGUGAGUAACACGUGAGUAACCUGCCCUUGACUUUGGGAUAACUUCAGGAAACUGGGGCUAAUACCGGAUAGGAGCUCCUGCUGCAUGGUGGGGGUUGGAAAGUUUCGGCGGUUGGGGAUGGACUCGCGGCUUAUCAGCUUGUUGGUGGGGUAGUGGCUUACCAAGGCUUUGACGGGUAGCCGGCCUGAGAGGGUGACCGGCCACAUUGGGACUGAGAUACGGCCCAGACUCCUACGGGAGGCAGCAGUGGGGAAUAUUGCACAAUGGGCGGAAGCCUGAUGCAGCAACGCCGCGUGCGGGAUGACGGCCUUCGGGUUGUAAACCGCUUUCGCCUGUGACGAAGCGUGAGUGACGGUAAUGGGUAAAGAAGCACCGACUAACUACGUG